AGACGUCUACAUUAGACUACCCGGGUAGUCCCAGCCGUAAACUAUGCGCGUUAGGUGUAUCGGUGACCACGAGUUACCGAGGUGCCGAAGGGAACCGUGAAACGUGCCGCCUGGGAAGUACGGUCGCAAGGCUGAAACUUAAAGGAAUUGGCGGGGAGCACCACAACAGGUGGAGCCUGCGGUUUAAUUGGACUCAACGCCGGGAAGCUCACCGGAUAAGACAGCGGAAUGAUUGCCGGGCUGAAGACUCUGCAUGACUAGCUG
rnacentral:rRNA from 1 species